rnacentral:rRNA from 1 species
GAUGAACGCUGACAGAAUGCUUAACACAUGCAAGUCUACUUGAUUCUACUUCGGUAGUUGAUGGUGGCGGACGGGUGAGUAACGCGUAAAGAAUCUGCCCUUUAGUUUGGGAUAACCUUUGGAAACGAAGGCUAAUACCGGAUAUUAUGGAGACGUCGCAUGGCGACUCCAUGAAAGCUAUAUGCGCUAGAGGAGGACUUUGCGUCCCAUUAGUUAGUUGGUGAGGUAAUGGCUCACCAAGACCGCGAUGGGUAGCCGGCCUGAGAGGGUGACCGGCCACAAGGGAACUGAGACACGGUCCUUACGCCUACGGGGGGCAGCAGUGGGGAAUAUUGGACAAUGGGCCACAAGCCUGAUCCAGCAAUUCUGUGUGCACGAUGAAGGUCUUCGGAUUGUAAAGUGCUUUCAGUAGGGAAGAAAAAAAUGACGGUACCUACAGAAGAAGCGACGGCUAAAUAUGUGCCAGCCGCCGCAGUAAGAC